rnacentral:lncRNA from 1 species
GGUUCUUCCGCUUCAAAUUAGCUGACGAAACAAGAAAAAUAACUUACAGGACAAUGCUCACACUUCACAUUGAUGGAAGUCUGCAUCUUCGUGCAAUUGGAAGGACCAAGUCAUGAAGAUAAAAUAUGUCAAGCAAAUAAUUAUGGCCUGGUGAACCUUGUUUGUACUGUAUACAUCGAUACACAUAUCAAUUAUAAACAGCUGUGAUUUCAUCGUUAUCAAGCUUUAAUUUAGCAUUAGUGACUUUAAUUUGAAUCAUCACUGUCCAGAUAUUACUUGUGCAAAGGAUAAGGAGUGCUCCGUUCUGUUUCGUUCAUGUCAUUUUCCUUGCUUCCACAUCCAAAAGUUACAGCGCAUGGGAUGUUUCCAGGCUAAGCUUUAAAGCUAUUCCCCUACACAUGUUUGCCUUAUCUCAACAACCAUUCGUUCCGAGAAAUGGACAUUCUCUGCCAUCUUCACCUUCACAGAAACAUCACUUCUCUUUAUCCCCUCAACCUUCUUGUUUUUAGCACUCAAAAUCUUUGCUGGCAAAUCUAUCGAAGAAUCCCAACUAUCCACCAGUUUAAGGCACAAACUUUAACCAGCUUCUCUACUUCGACAGGCUCUAUGACUGCCAAGCUGAGCUUAUCGUUUCUGAUUCUGGAGUGGAUUGUGUAUUCUUUGAUAGUUUAUGUCGAUUUCUUUUAUGUAUAAAUCAAGUACUAAAGAUUUUCAUACCAAUAUAAUAAUAAAAUCAAUGAAAGUACACUUUUUGAAGACAUUUUUCUUUAUUAAAAAAUAUAAAAAAUUCAUUCACUUAAAAGAAUAAAAAUAAUAAUUUAAGUGGUCUCAUCGAAACUAUAAAUAAAAAAUCUAUAUACUCACCAUCCAAAAAUUCAUUCUAGACCAUAAAUAGAUCUUCAAGAGAAGACUGAAAGCUAACCAUCUAAAAAUACAAAGUAAUAUUUAUUAUCAAAUGUUUCAAACAACAGAAAAAAAAUAUGAAUUAUUUUACUACAUACUCAUCAUCUAUGCUAAUAAUAACUUUUAUAUAGUUAUUAAUAGUUAUUACAACUAUAAAUAAGCUAGAAAUAUAUCAAAUUAAUGUAAAAAUAGUUUUUUUAAAUGAUGAUUUUGACGGAGAGGUUUAUAUGGACAUCAAUAGUUAUUACAACUAAGAGAUUUGUUGUUAAAAAAAAUAUAUUUUAAACUUGUUAAAUUAUUAUAUGGUUUGAAACAAGUUUCUAAAUAAUGACAUGAAAAGUUUGACAAUGUUAUAUUAUUAAAUGAGUUUAAAAUCAACAAGGUUAAUAAACAUGUUUAUAUAAAAAAUACAGAUAAAUAUUAUAUUAUUGUAUGUAUUUAUAUUGAUGGAUGUUAAUUUUGGGUAUAAAUAUAUGAUCAAGUUUUUCAAACAAAAAAAACUAAUAUAAUUGUUAUGAAAGACUUGGAUAUUGUAGAUGUAUACAAGAAAUAAAAAUUUAUAGGAUAUUUGAUAGAUUAAUAUUGUCUUAAUUUUAUUAUGUUGAGAAAAUUCUUGAUUUUUUUAAAAAAUAACAAUAACACUAUCAAAACAUCAAUCAAUAUAAGUAUAUAUUUGUCCAAAAUAACAAAGAUGAAGAAAUACUAUAAUUGAAAUAUUCCCAAAUUAUUCGAAGCUUGAUAUAUAUUAUGAAUUAAACAAGAUCAUAUAUUGCAUAUUUAGUUAACAAAUUAAGUAUAUUUACCAAUAAUUAAAGUUUGAAUAAUUGAAAGACAAUAAAUAAAAUACUCAAAUACUUGAAAUAUAUUAUGAAAUAUGUACUACAUUAUACUAAGUAUCUGACAAUACUUAUGAGAUAAAGUAAUAUGAAUUAAAUAUUCAAUGUUAAAGAUUUAAAAUCUAUUAAUGGAUAUAUUGUUUUUCACUUGUUGAAGCAACUAUGUCUUGGAAGCCCUUCAAAAAAACACGCAUCGCAAGAUCCAUGAUAGAAUUAGAGUUUAUUGCUCUGGAUAAAGUUCAAAAAAAAACAAAAUAACUUUAAAUUUUUUAGAGGAUAUUUUAUGUUGACCAAAGUUAGUAUCAAGAAUUUAUAUUCAUUGUGAUAGUUAGUUGGCAAUUAAAAUGACAUAGAGUAACAUAUAUAAUGGUAAGUCUAUCUGUAUGUAUCGUAAAUAUAAUACUAUUAAACAUUUUUUUUGAAUGAAAUUAUUUUUAUUAAUUAUGUAAGAUUAAAGAAAAAUACUGUAGAUUUGUUUAUUAAAGAUUUAAUAAAAGAAAUUAUGUAUAAUUUGUCGAGAAAAGUUAAUUGAAAACUUAUAAAGAUAAAUGAAUACCAUGAUUGUAACCUAUAUGAUUAGAGAUUCUAAGAUUUAGUUUUAAUUAAUGGCGAUUUUAGCAAACAAAGAAACCUGGUUUCUUUCUAUAUCCCUUGCAUAUUUAUGCAGGGAGCUCAAAUUAGAUACUUUCCUUGGAAACAAGGCUUCACAUUGCGUUAGGAAUGGAUCGAGACUUGUCUUACUUGAAUAGAAUUGGAGAAGCCAAGAAUUUGAGUUAUUUUUUUAAAAAAUUAGCAUAGACGGUAUUUUUUUUUUGCAAACUAUUAUAAUAGAAAAAAAUUUAGGAAAAUAACACUUUGGGCAGUUGAGAUAUUAAGAAAUUUAAUAGGUUGCACUAUUCUCAAUAGCACAACUUAAUAUAAUUAAAAGAAAUAAAUGGUUAUGAUACUGGGUUUAGCACAACCUUUAACUAUAUACUAGACACUUGACCCGCGCGAUGCUGCGGGUUAUUUUUUUUUUGCAUAAAAAAUAUUAAAACAAAUAAAAAAUUAAAAAUCUUGGGUUUUUCUGCAAAGUUAUACCCAAAAUACUUGGGUUUGACUCAACGUCUCACCUAAGAGUAAUAUUUAUAAUAUUAAUAAUAAAAUUAAACUUGCAUGACCCAAGUUUAAGUGAGCCUGGUGUGAUAAUUAAAUAGAUUGAUUAAAAAAAACAAAGAAAAAAAAUCAACAGAAAUGAAAAACCUAAUGAAGAAAAAGAAAAAAAAUGAAUUAAUUGGGUUAACCCUUUAAAUCAGGCUACCCCGUAAAACCUGGUAUUCACAUCAUGAAAGUUUGAUAACUAAAUAGAAAAACAAAUGGCGGGUUUACCCAGAAUUAACUGGGUUAAACCAUCAAACCAAGUUAACCCGUCAAGCCCAGGACACGUGUCAUGAAAGUAUAAAAGUCUGAUAAUUAAAUAGAAAGAAAAUUAACUUCAACAAACUAAACUAAAUGAAAAAAAAAAUAACUUGUCAAAUCAGGCUAACCCAUCAAACCCGACAUCCGUAUCAUGAAAAUCUGAUAACUAAAUAAAAAAAAAAUUAACAUUAACAAACUAAAUCAAACAAAAAAAUUCAUUAAAAAAAUUAAAAAGAAAAAAAGGAAAAAAAUAGUUAUAUAAUAUAAUAUAUAAUAUAUAAUUAUAUAUUAUAUAAUAAUUAUAAUAAUAUAAUAUAUUAAUAAGUAAAUAUAUUAGUAAAAGGCACAUGCCCGCGAUGCCGCGGGCUUGUGGCAUGCUUGUGCAUUAUUGUGGAUUUGUGAAAAAAAUCAUAUAAAAAAAAUGUUACCAUCCACAAUAUUUUAAAGGAAAAAACUACAAAGCUAUAUUCUCAACCAGCUCAAUAUUAAAAAAAAAAAGACAAAAACAAUUAUAAAAAAAACAAAAAAAAGAAGAUGACAAUUUUGGAAGAAAAAAAAGCAAAAAAAUAAUAAAAAAAUGAAAAAAAAACAUGUGGGGAAAGUUAAAGCUAAAUUUUCAACCAGCUAAAAUAUUAAAAUCAUUUAAGAAAACACUGUAGCAAUCUAUAGUGUUUUGUGAGGAAAUAUACAACUAUAAUUCUCAACCAGCUCAAUAUUAAAAAAAAUCAAUAAAGAUAAUUUUGACAAAUAUAAAAAAAAAUGAAAGGAAAAAAAACAUCCAUGGAAACACUAUAACAAUCUAUAGUGUUUCAUGAGAAAAUCUACAGUUGUAAUUUUUAACCAGCUCAAUAUCAAAAACAAUAAAAACGACAAAGACCAUUUUAAAAAAAAAACAUAACAAAAAAAACAUAUGUGGGAAAACACUGUAGCAAUCAACGAUGUUUUAAGAAAAAAAAGCUAAAUUGUUAACUGGUUCAGUAUGAAAAAAAUAAAUUGACAAAACAUAUUUGGAAAAAAAAAAUCGACAAAAAAACAUGUGGGGAAACACUGUAGCAAGACAAAAAUCAUGUAGGGAAACACUGUAGCAAUCUACAGUGUUUUAAAUAACUACAAAGCUAAAUUUUCAAUCAGCUUAAUAUAAAAAAAUAAAAGCAAUAAAGAUAAUUCUGAAAAAAAAUUAUUUAAUAAAAAACCAUGUAGAGAAACACUGCAACAAUCUAGUGUUUUAAAGAAAAAAAUUAAAAAAUUAAAUUAUCAAUCAGCUCAAUAGCAAAAAAAUAAAAUCAACAAAAAUAAUUAUGAAAAAAAAAUAUAAAGAAGAAAGACAAUUUUGGGAAAAUUAAAAAAAAACAAUAAAAAAAAGUGGGGAAAGCUAAAGCUAAAGCUAAAUUCUCAACCAACUCAAUAUUAAAAAAAUAAAUUCGACAAAGAUAAUUUAAAAAAAAAACAUGUGGGGAAAACACUGCAGACAAACAAAAACCAUGUAAGGGAAAUACUGUAGCAAUCCAUAGUGUUUUUUUUUUUUUGAAAAAAGCUACAAAAGCUAAGUUCUCAACCAGCUCAAUAUAAAAAAAAACUGACAAAGACUAUUUAAAAAAAAAGUCAAUUUUGGGUAAAAAAAAUGAAAAAAAAACAUGUAAAAAAAAAAACAAAAGCGAGAAAAAAAACACGCGGGGAAAGCUACAGUGUUUUAAAGAAAAAACCAAAAAAACUAAAAUUUCAACCAGCUCAAUAGCAAAAAAAAUAAAAUCAACAAAAAUAAUUUUUUUUUAAAAAAAAAAAAUAUGUAAAAAAUGACAAUUUUGGAAAAAAAGAAAAAGAAAAUAAAAAAGUGGGGAAAGCUAAAGCUAUAUUAUCAGCCAGCUCAAUAUUGAAAAAAUAAAUUCGAUAAAGAUAAUGUUUUUAAAAAAUAUGUGGGGAAGCACUGCAGCAAAACAAAAACCAUGUAGGGAAAACACUGUAGUAAUUCAUAUUGUUUUUUUUUUUAAAAAAAAAACUACAAAGUUAAAUUCUCAACCAACUUAAUAUAUAAAAAUAAAAUCUACAAAGACUAUUUUGAAAAAAAAAAGAAUAAAUAAAUCAUAAAAAAAAAAACAAUGUAUGAUAACAUUAUAGCAAUCCACAAUGUUUUAAAGAAAAAAACUACAUAGUUAAAUUUUCAAUCAGCUCAAUAUUUUAAAAAUUAGUAUAGAUAAUUUUGUAAAUUGUUUUUUUUAAAAAGUCAAUUUUGGGUAAAAAAAAAAUAACAUGUAAAAAAAUGAAGAAGAAACAAAAGUGGGAAAAAAAAGCUUCAGAACAAAAAAAACAAAAGAAAAAAAAACGAAAAAAAACUGUUCCAGAAAAGAAAAAAAUAAUAAUAAUAUAAUAAUAUAAAUAUUAUAAUAAUAAUAGUAAUUAUUAUUAUAUAUUAAGUAUAAUUAAAAAGCGUGGGAAAGCUACAGUACUUUCCCCGCGUUUUAGAGUUCUUUAAUAUAUAUAUAUAUAUAUAUAUAUAUAUAAAUUCAAGUCCUCGAAUGUAUCGCUUGAUCAGGUAAAGUAAAUGGAGAAUAGAACUGAAGGCAUCAAUGAUCUAAUUUUUUUUUUUUUUAAUAAAAUAUCAUUCUGAAGCUUCCAGUCUUUGGCUUGGCAAAAAGGGAUCUGAAGAUGAUUUUCUCAUGUGAAAUUUAUGGAAUUUCGAAACCACACCAACCAACGAACUUAAUUUACGAUGAGCCGCUAAUAACAGUGUGUUUCGGAACAUCUAAAAUUUGAUUUUUUUUUAAAAUUAUUUUGAUAUGUAAAUAUCAAAAAUAAUUUUUAAAAAAUAAAAAAAUAUUAUUUUAAUAUAUAUUUUUUAAAAAAUAUUUUAAAUUGUAACAAUUAUCACAUUUCACUUAAAAUCAGAUAAGAUACCAAUAAUUAACGACCAUCAUGUAAAGAUUUAAAUAAUAUUUUUUAAUAUAUUUUUUUAAAAAUGACACUUUCAACAACUGUAAUUAUUACAAUAUUUCAUUUUCAUUUUAAAUAUGAUAAGAUGUCAAUGUAAAGAUUUAAAUUUGAAACGGUUACCAACCAUCUACUUGUACUACUUGUGAAAGAUAAUACAUUUUUUUAAUAAAUUUUUAAAUAAAAAAAACUUCAAAAAAUAAUUUUAAUUAUAAAUAUUAUCCUCGUGCUGGUCAUAUACCACUAUUUUCGUGUACAAGGGUCUCUUCCUUUUCAUUACAAAGCAAAGAACAAGCUGAAAGUAUUGACAUAGUGAUGGAAGGGACUUGUUUUUUUUUUUUUUUCACCCCACCAGGGUUCAAAUCUUCAUGUGCAUGCAUGUCACUCCCGCGGUGCUUUACAUGUUCACUGAGUUUGUAGAAUAUUCAAUGGGCCGUGAAAUUAGUCGUGGUACGCGCAAGCUGACCCGAAUACCUACAUAAAUUAAAAAAAAAAAAAAAGAACACGCUGAAACUAACAAUCAGGGGACGACGAUUAAUUCAAUUUAGACACGUCUAUGCACCGUCUAAUAUUGGACCACCAGUAUUAGGAUAGGCAACAGGCGUGACGAUCUAAUAGUUAAUUUUUAAGUUUUUUUAGUUUUAAAUUUUUUUUUUAUGUUUUUGGAUAGUUCUGAUAUAUUAAUAUUAAAAAUAAAAUUUAAAAAAUUAAAAAAUAUUUUAAUAUAUUAAAAAAAUAUUUAAAAAGACAAUAAAGAAAGAGGAACGACACGGAGGAGGAUACAUUGGAGGGGCAACAGGGGUUCUUCAAGUUUUGUUUUUUAUAAAAUAAAAAAGGAUGAAUUGAUUUUUUUUUUUUAAAGAUUUAUAUAUCUUUUACGAGGUAGAUAUAUUGGAUGCGAUUUCUUUUCUUUUUAUUUUUAUAUUUUUUUUUAUUAUCAUAUAAACAUUGUUAAUUAGGAAUAACAUGAAAUUUUCCAAAUUAACCCAAUCACUUUCCUUCCGUUACUCCUACUGGGUCGUCGAAUCUAUUUAAAUAUGAACAACCCACCUUCCUUGUUUCACAUGGUGUUAGCUGCAACAUGGCCUCCAUUGACUCUCUCUCUAAUCCAUUCACCCUCUCAGCUUUAGUUCUGAUCCUAUCUAUAUUCAUAGUCCAACUCUCCAUUAGAAAGUUGAACAAAAAGCAGGAAAAACACAAGUACCAUCCAGUUGGCGGCACGGUGUUUAACCAACUUCUCCACUUCAACAGGUUGCAUGAUUACAUGACUGAUCUUGCUGGGAAAUACAAGACUUACAGGCUGAUCGCCCCCUUCAGAAGUGAGGUUUACACUGCUGAUCCUGUAAAUGUUGAGUACAUACUCAAAACCAACUUCGAAAAUUAUGGCAAGGUAUCUAUUUCUUCUUACUGUGAUCUAUUUCGUCAAUAUCAGUACCGAAUGCUGGGUCCCUGUUCUUAUGAUGUGGAUUGUGUAAGAUUAGCCUGAUGAAUCAACACCCAGUUUUGAAUAUUCUCAAAAACCCUGCUAGUACCGUCGAUACUCGACGAUACAAGAAAAAAUUGGAGAAUCCAAAAUUAGGGGUUAGAAUUUGAGAAUUUGUUUUGACUGUUCACUUUUCCAUGGGGAUUUGAUUCCAAUGGCUGAAAGGGUAAUGGUUUAGGUUGCUCAAACUUUGUGCAGGGGGACCUUAAUUACAACAAUCUAAGUGGGUUACUGGGUGAUGGAAUUUUCACUGUUGACGGUGACAAAUGGCGCCAGCAAAGAAAGGUUUCGAGCUAUGAGUUCUCCACAAAGGUUUUGAGGGACUUUAGCAGUGUGGUCUUCAGGAAGAAUGUGGCAAAACUUGCUAAUAUAGUGUCUGAAGCUGCAAAAGCUAACCAGUCAAUGGACAUACAGGUUGGUCUUUCAUCCAAUGUCACAGAGUAAACAUCAUGAAUUGAUUUUCAAAGCACGUGACCUCCUAAGCAGGACGGGUACAAGAUAAUUUUAAUUGUGGGAAAAUAAUAUAAGUAUAUAACUAAAUUAAUUAAGAUCUAAAAAAACUAAAAGUUAUAAGUGUUUAAUAUAAAGUUAAGAAAUUUACAUAUAUUAUAAAAAGUUACUCUUAAAAAUUCUAUACUUUUUUUUUAUAAUUCACAAUUAUUCCAUACGAGACUUCACAAUUAUUCCAUGUCAUACUUCAUAGGUUAAAAACAUUGUACAAUUUUCUUAUUAUCAAUAUUUUUAAAUAUCUUUUUUCAAUAUAAAUAACCAUAUAAUUAUUUAACAAACAUCCCCAUAAAUAACUAUAAACUAUUUAUUUCAACCAACAAAAACAACCAUAAAUUAUUUAUUUUAUCAAUUUCUUAUAUUUAUUUUUUCAAGUUACAUUGAAAAUUCAACUACAACUAAACAAUAUAAUUAAAUGCAUUUCAAUUCUUGUCAACACAACAACACAUAUUAAAUACAUAUAACUAACAAACAAUUACUUUGGUUCCAAAAGUUCUUAUCCCGACCAUACUUUCACUAUUAACACCUAAUUUUUCUUUUUUAAUUAUGUUUUAUUUAAAAUCAUUUACAUCCUAUUAUCCCAAGAACAACACAUUUUUAUAAUUUUACUUUCCUUAAAUUAAUAUUUAAGAAUUCUAAUUCAAAAUUUAAGAAUUUUACGUAAACUUUGUUAAUCUUUACUUAAACUUGUACAAUCAAAUUUAUAAUAUCUUUUUCAAUAAUGAUAUGAACUUCAAAUGUUAACCAUUUGAAGUUUUUUAUUGUUUUUUUCUUUUAAUAUCAUGAGUGUUCUCUUUGCUCCUUUUCUCUCAUUUGAUUUUCUUUUUAAUUCCUGAGUUAGGUGUAUUCAAAACUCACUAUCUUAUCUAUCUUGCCUUAAAUCAUGGUUUCUCUUUAGGGUUUUAGUGAAGAAGCUAUCAUUUUUUUUUCUCUAAUGUUUUUCAGCAUUGGCUGGCAGCUUCAAGGAGAAGAAGAAGCUGAAUUUCCUAUUUUUUCAGCUUAUUUAUGAACAUACCAUUAAUGAGCCUAUAUGUUAUUUUUGAUCCGAUUAUUAAUAUUCUUGCAUGGCCUUUUAAAAUUUAUAUUAACCUAAAAUUUUAGUCCAAGAUAGAGGAAUGUUUCAAGAGGUUCCUCGUAAACUUUCAGCCCAAUCUAACGAAUGAAUUGAAAGUUAUGCUUGAUAUUAUAAAAUUAAUUAGUAAGUGAUUUUACAUCAAAAUCCAAUUUUUCCUCAAUUAUUGCUAGAACCAUAUCAAUUGUUUUAAUAAGUUCUCAGAGCCAUUUUUUUAUUUUAAAACAUAUUUAUUUUUUCUUUUCAUCAUUUAUUUCAUUUACAUACUUGCUACAGUUUCACGGUAAUGUUACUGAUUUUUAACCGAGACUUACACCAACACUUUUUCGCAUAGUUCUUUCUUAACUUUUAUUUUUCAUUUCCGUUUUAAUUCCUUGAAAUUAUUUUCUAAUCAUCAAAACACAUCCAUUCAAUUUUUUUUUUUAAUUCUUCUAUCCAUCAAAACCAUUACCGGUUUUAGCAUGAUAUAUAUUUCAUUUGAAUUAUUUUUUGGCAGCGUGGGCCAGUGCCCAAAUUGCCCACAUUCUGGAUCCGUCCAUGCUUCUAAGCUUAACUAGUUGUGCAGGACCUGUUUAUGAAAUCAACCCUAGAUUCGAUAUUCAAAGUUGCAUUCGGGGUUGAGCUAGACAGCAUGUGUGGAUCAAAUGAAGAAGGUGUCAAAUUUACCAGUGCUUUUGAUGAUGCAAGUGCAUUGACCCUUUGGCGAUAUGUUGACGUGUUCUGGAAAAUCAAGAGGUUUUUGAAUAUUGGAUCGGAAGCUGCAUUGAAGAAAAACGUCAAAGUGGUUAAUGAUUUUGUGUAUAAACUAAUCAAUAAAAAAAUUGAGCUAAUGCGUAACUCAGAAGAAGUUUCUUCUGUGAGUAUCUCUCCUUGAAACUAUUAUUUCUGAUAGAUUGCAGAGGCAUGAAUUUUAGCUGAUCUUACAUGGAAAAUGCAGUUAAAGAAAGAUGACAUUUUAUCAAGGUUCCUGCAAGUGACGGAGAAUGAUCCAACAUACUUACGGGACAUAAUUCUCAAUUUUGUGAUUGCUGGAAAAGACACAACAGCAGCUGCUCUAUCAUGGUUCAUCUACAUGUUGUGCAAGCAUCCAGCUGUGCAGACAAAGGUUGCACAAGAAGUAAGAGAAGCAACUAAAGUGAAAGAGAUCACAAAUUUUGCAGAAUUUGCAGCCAGUAUUAAUGAAGAAGCUCUAGAAAAGAUGAACUAUCUCCAUGCAGCAAUUACUGAAACUCUUAGACUGUAUCCAUCUGUGCCUGUGGUAAGAAGAAAUUAUGUGCACUUGCAAUUCCUGGCUGCAAGAAACAACACAAAUAAAUUUGUGAUUAUUUACUAAUUCUUCAAGACUGAAACUACGAUUCUUGAGCAAUAAAUGCCUUUAAUUCUCUCAGUAUACUUGAUGUUUCAACAUGCUUGUAUAGAGUUAAUAAUGCUUCCUAAAUAAUUGUAUAAUUUUUUUGUUUCUGUAUCUCAAAAUUCUUUGCUUUGCAGGAUGCGAAGGUUUGCUUUUCUGAUGACACUCUACCAGAUGGCUUUAAUGUGAGAAAGGGAGAUAUGGUGGCUUACCAACCCUAUGCAAUGGGGAGGAUGAAGUUCAUAUGGGGCGAUGAUGCUGAGGAAUACAAACCUGAAAGAUGGCUCAAUGAGGAUGGCGUGUUUCAGCAAGAAAGCCCUUUCAAGUUUACAGCUUUCCAGGUUAGUGGAAAUAAAGAUCUGUCUAAUUCACUUGAUUAACAUUCAAAUAAAUUUUCUGCUGCCUUUGCUGUGCAAAUCAUUAAGAUCUAUUUUCAGUGCUUGCUCAGUUUAACUUUAUGGACUCCCAAUCUCGUUGACCAAAUGACUAAAAUCAGACUUUCUGCUGGUUAACAGGCAGGGCCACGGAUAUGUCUUGGGAAGGAAUUUGCUUAUAGGCAGAUGAAGAUCUUCGCGGCUGUCUUAUUGGGCAGUUUCAUUUUUAAACUCGCUGAUGAAAUGAAACCUGUCAACUACAGGACAAUGAUUAAUCUUCAUGUUGAUGGAGGCCUCCAUGUUUGUGCCCUCCACAGAGGCAGUGCUUAGCUCAGUAUAUCUGUAAUGGUAUUACAUCAAUAAACAUGGGCGUAAAACCCAGCCCAAACCAUCCAAGGUAAACGAGGUUAAACAAUGUUUUCCUGGUAAGACGACAAGACGGAUCAUGCACCUUCUUAAGCAACUGCAGAGAUCUCUGAACUUGUUUAAACAACAGAAUAUCCAUCAAUUCAUAUAUAAAUAUGAAGAAACAAUGAAGCUAUACCUUAGAAGGGGGGCUGUAAGCAAGAGUCCAAGUAUGGAACGAACUCCAGCCUAUCAGCUCCUGAAGAAUAGGAUUUUAAACUAGUGAUAAGCUUUGUAUAGAAUGGAACUCUAAUUAUUGUGUUUGAUUAGAACUCUGCAACGUUAUCUCUACUGUAUAUAUAUACCUCUGUUUUCAAUGAAUAAACAUAAGAGUUUCCUACGUUCCAUAUAUAUUCAGCUGUCUUCUCUACUGGUAUCAGAGCUGUUGCACUAAAUUGCACAGUUUUUUUUUCUCUUGUCUUCGUCUCUUCACUCUCUUCUUCCCAUCUUCUAUUUAAAUCCUAAAUCACCAUGAGUGAUUUCCCAAACACAACUCUUGUUACCAUUAAUGUUACAGCUCAAGCUCCAGUGAAACUCAACAGCACCAACUAUUUGUCAUGGCGACUUCAGUUUCAGACGCUCUUCAUUGGUUAUGAUCUGCAAGGAUACAUAGAUGGCACAAAGCCAUGCCCCUCCCGAUAUCAUACCACCAGCACAGACAACCCCAACACUCAAGCCUUAAAUCCAGAAUAUCAUACCUGGAUACGUCAAGAUCAACUGAUUUUGAAUGCCAUCAUAGGAUCCAUUACACCAACCAUUAUUCCUUUUAUUGCUCGCGCCACAACAGCUCGCGAAGCUUGGAAUAUCCUUGCAGCCACAUAUGCCACUCCAUCUCGGGGUCGCAUCAAACAGGUGAAAGCUAAUCUCAAAUCGUUAACUAAAGGCACUCUUAGCAUCACAGAUUUCCUGCAAUAAGUAAAGGCUAGAGCUGAUGAACUUGCAGUCCUAGGGGCACCUGUAGACAAUGAAGACCUGACGGACAAAAUCCUAGAAGAACUAGGUGAUGACUAUAAAGAAUUGGUGAGAGCAGUGCAAGCCAGAGACAAUGCCAUAAGCUUUGAUGAACUCCAUGAAAAAUUAUUAAUGUUUGAAGCCUCACUCCAAGCAGCCCAUAAAGGUAUUAAUUUCUCCCCUACAGCACAUCUCUCCAGUAGAACUCAAAGCAGGUAUCCUUUCAACAUUGUUGGCCGAUCAACGUCCAACAACUCAGGUGGACACUGGCGCCCCUCAACCUACUCACAUCAUCGCUACAUAGGACAAGGUUCAAACACUAAUGGCACCACUAACAACAGCCGCUCUCAGCCAUGACCAUAUCUGGGGUAUUGCCAAAUUUGUAGCAUUCAAGGACAUACAGCAAAAAAAUGUCACUCCUUUCGUCUUGUUCCACUCCACAGCCACCCAAAUUCCAGUCCUCCUCCAUGGCAACCACAAGCCAACCUUGUUGAAACUAAUUCCCAGACUAGCUCUCCAUGGCUUUUGGAUAGUGGGGCAUCCCACCACAUCACAACAGAUCUUUAAAAUUUGGCUCACCACUUGCCCUACACCGGCACUGAUGAUGUUAUGAUAGGGGAUGGUAAAAGUCUGCGAAUUACACACUUGGGUUCCUCUACUCUUCAUUCAUCCGCUCACUCCUUUAAGCUUAAAAAUAUAUUAUGUGUGCCUGAUAUUAAACGCAAUUUACUAUCUAUAUAUCAAUUUUGCGUUGAUAAUAAUGUAUCUGUUGAGUUCUUACCCUGAUGUUUUUUUGUGAAGGACUUAUUGAUGGGGGAAAUUCGCGCAAAGGAUAAAACCAAAGAAGGUGUGUACGAAUGGUCGUGCGUUGUCACCUCUCAUGCCUUUUCCAGUCUCAAAAUACCUUCCAUAAAUUGGCAUUUUUGAUUAGGUCAUCCAGCUGUUUCUGUUUUAAAAACAAUUUUAACUAAGGAUAAUUUGAAUUCGUCUUCAGUUUCAAAAGACUUUGUCUGUAAUGCAUGUCACUGUAAUAAAAGUCACAAACUACCUUUUUCUGUCUCCACCUUGGUUUCUCGUAAACCACUUGAAAUAAUAUUUUCUGAUGUAUGGACGUCCCCUAUUUUGUCUAUUGAUAAUUUUAAGUACUAUGUUAUUUUUGUGGAUCACUUCACUAAAUACAUAUGGUUUUAUCCGUUAAAAAAUAAAUCUGAUGUCAAAACCAUCUUCAUACGCUUUAAAGCAGUAGUAGAAAAUUAUUUCAAGACCAAAAUUGUGACUUUGUAUUCUGACAAUGGAGGUGAAUAUAUUGCGCUAAAGGAAUUCCUUGUUAUGCAUGGAAUAUCUCAUCUGACAUCACCCCCUCACACCCCUGAACACAAUGGCUUUGCUGAACGCCGUCAUCGGCAUAUUGUAGAAACAUGUCUCUCCCUUUUAACUCAUGCAUCUUUACCCCGUAUUUUUUGGUCAUAUGCUUUUUCUACCGCGGUCUAUCUUAUAAAUCGCAUGCCAACAACUAAGUUACAAAAUCUUUCACCUUAUGCAGUUAUUUUUCAACAUUCCCCGAAUUAUGAAAAGCUUCGUAGUUUUGGAUGUUUAUGCUAUCCUUGGCUACGACCAUACACUGCUCAUAAACUAGAUCCUCGUUCCAAACCAUGCAUUUUUCUGGGAUAUUCUCUUUCACAAAGUGCUUAUUUAUGCUUAGAGCCCGAGUCCUCAAAAAUUAUUGUGUCUAGGCAUGUGUCCUUCAUUGAGCAUAUUUUUCCAUACCAUGAUUUACACAAACCGGAGCCUCCAUGCAUAUCCAAUUCAAUUGACAUAUGGAUUCCACCUGUCAUCACCAUUCCCUCGUCAUCUUCUACACACUCUUCUACGGCAACACUUGAAGCAAGAAAUUCCCCGCUAGUGAUCCUUCAUCCCUCAUCAGGAACCACCACCCAACCAUCUACCACCAUUCCUAUAUCUGCCCCAGAUGUCCUUAACCCCACAACAACCAUACCCCCACCACCACCAAAUCUUCCUACUCAUCCUAUGACAACCCGGUCCAAAAACAAUAUUCACAAACCCAUACAAAAACUCACAUAUACUACCACUCUUACCCCUCAGCCUUAAGAACCCACCACAUUUGCUCAGGCCACAAAAGACCCACACUGGCAGUCUGCCAUGAAUGAAGAGUAUAGUGCUCUGUUGCGUAAUGGCACUUGGACUCUAGUCCCCCCUGUUUGUGCUUCUAACUUGGUUGGUUGUAAGUGGAUUUUCAGGAUAAAACGAAAUGCAGAUGGAACAGUGGCUCGUUACAAAGCCAGACUUGUAGCCAAAGGUUUUCAACAGCUUCCGGGACUGGACUACCAUGACACAUUCAGUCCAGUUGUGAAACCUACAACAAUCCGUCUGGUUCUCAGCAUUGCUGUCAGUAAUGGAUGGCCACUUCGGCAACUUGACAUUAACAAUGCAUUCCUGCAAGGCACCCUUGCUAAGGAUGUAUACAUGGCACAACCUCCGGGCUUCCAUGAUCUAGACAAACCUGAGUUUGUCUGUAAACUCAGAAAAGCAAUUUAUGGCUUGAAGUAGGCACCCCGUGCGUGGUAUCAUGAACUACGCAAUUUUCUACAUGCAUCAGGAUUCUCUAACUCCUUGGCUGAUACAUCACUUUUUGUCUUCCAUCAGCAAUCUCAUCUCAUUUAUCUCCUGGUCUAUGUUGACGAUAUUAUUGUUACAGGGGAUAAUGAACAGGCAGUCAAUCAAUUCAUUCGGUGUUUAGCAGAUCGGUUCUCAUUAAAAGAUUUGGGCUCUCUACAGUAUUUUCUGGGCGUUGAAAUUCGAUCUCAUCCCACUAGUGGCAAGCUCCUCUCACAGCACAGGUAUAUUAUGGAUCUACUGCAUCGCACCAACAUGGCUCAUGCAAAACCCACGUCAACUCCCCUGCCUCCAGGUUGUAAACUAAGCUUAAACAUGGGUGCACCUAUGGCUGACCCUUCACACUAUCGUGCUACAAUAGGAAGCCUUCAGUAUCUAUCUCUAACUCGGCCUGAUAUUUCUUUCGCUGUAAACAAGCUCUCCCCAAUUUAUGCACAAGCCCUCAGAUGUACACUGGAAACUGGUGAAACAUCUCCUUCGAUAUUUACUUGGCACUGUCGACCACUGUCUGCUACUUCAUCGUCAUUCACCAUUUUCGGUUCAUGCUUUUUCUGAUGCAGACUGGGGGGGGGGGACAUGGUAGAUUUAUCCUCCACCAGCGCCUAUGUCAUCUACCUUGGCCGGAGCCCCAUCUCCUGGUCUUCCAAAAAGCAACACACCACGGCACGUUCAUCCACUGAAGCCGAAUAUAGAGCAGUUGCAGACACAGCAGCUGAAAUCAGUUGGGUGUGCUCUUUAUUAUCUGAACUACAUUUUCCAGUGAGUCACACUCCAGUCAUCUACUGUGACAACAUUGGUGCCACCCAGCUAAGCUCUAAUCCUGUGUUUCACUCAAGAAUGAAACAUGUUGCUAUUGAUUUCCAUUUCAUUCGACAAAGGGUUCAAUCAGGUGCUCUACGAGUGUCUCAUGUAUCUUCAAAUGAUCAGUUAGCCGAUGCAUUAACAAAAUCACUACCCCGCUCGCAGUUCUGGCUUCUUAAAGACAAGAUUGGACUCAUUGACCCCGUCCAUCUUGAGGGGGCAUGUAAGCAAGAGUCCAAGUAUGGAACGAACUCCAGCCUAUCAGCUCCUGAAGAAUAGGAUUUUAAACUAGUGAUAAGCUUUGUAUAGAAUGGAACUCUAAUUAUUGUGUUUGAUUAGAACUCUACAACGUUAUCUCUACUGUAUAUAUAUACCUCUGUUUUCAAUGAAUAAACAUAAGAGUUUCCUACGUUCCAUAUAUAUUCAGCUGUCUUCUCUACAGGGGCUUGGACCGCAUCUCCAAACUGUAUCUGCUCACGUCCAGGAAAGUCCCGCUCUCCUCGGAUUUCUUUGUUUUUCUUCCACAUAUUAAAAAGUGAUCAUGUAGAUGUUCAACAACCAUAUGCUUGAACAAGCCUGUGAAUGGGGUUUAGAUACUAAAAUUUGAAUUCACAUGCAGCCAAAUUAGAAAUGAAAUUGAACAGAAUUUCAAGUACACCAAGUCGUCCACUACAUGAAUCCUUGUAGCAUCCUCUUCAAACUAGAGAAAAAAACCUACAGGGGCCGUAAUAGAGUGAUAUCCUCCACUAAAAUCCUUGGCAAGUUUAAUGCAUUAACCCGUAGCCUUAUCGUUCUGCCCACGGCAAUUAUAAGUACAUGCCCCCUAACAAAAAUCCUACGGAUGAUCCAAAAUUCUUGGAAACUCUGUGUCGACCACCUGACCACAAACACAUCAGGUCCGAGUAUUGCACUCGAACAAAUAGUUAACAUUUCUAAAAAUAAAAUGCUGACAUAAAUAGCUGUCAUUGCAAAAAUUAGGUUAGUCAAAGGCACUACCAUUACAAAAAUCACAGUAGCUUCCUGAGCAAAAGGUUUUCCCUGUAAAAAUGAGAUAACAAGAUGAGACCCAUGGCACGUACUUGCUCAUACUUAAUACAUCCCAGAGAGAGUCUGAGGGCCACACAUCGCGAGUUAGAUGCAGAACUAGCAAACCCCGUAUCUAGCUCCUUCCUCGUGAGUGAAUCAGUGAAAGCACUCUACUCAGCAAAGCCUUAUUCCCAAACACAGUUGUGAUCAGUUACAUGGAUGAUUUCCCUCUACUCUAUUCUGUUUUAGCCAACUUUAUACAUGUUUCAUGGUGGUAUAAGUACCCAAUUCUAAAGCAAUUUUAGCAAUGUAAAACAGUCAUAAUGACAAAAACUUCAAGAAGUCAAGUUUCAAGUGAGCAUGAACUUUCACCACGAGUUCUCCGCGAACAAUUUUCGACCAAUCUAAUUCAAUGCUAAACUUUACGUAGCUAAUAACACAGACAUGCAUGUUGAAAGAAAUCAAGCAUUACCCCCAAGUUGUCAAGAAUUCACAAGAAUGGGAGGUGUGCAGAGGUGGAUGACAUUUUCCUGAUGGCUUUAGAAUGAAAAAGGUUGACGGACAUGGCAUAUGCCAUGGGUAGGAUGCCUUACAUUUGGGGAGACGAUGCAGAGGAUUUGCGGCCAGAAAGAUGGCUCAACAAUGGGAUUUUCCAACCUGAAUCACCAUUCAAGUUCAUAGCAUUUCAUGUUAGUAUCUUCUCUUCGUUUCUUGCAGACAUAACGUGUGAAACAGUUUCCAAAGUUGUUGGCUGUCCCCUUGCAGGCAGGUCCUCGGAUAUGUCUGGGCAAAGACUUCGCGUACCGGCAGAUGAAGAUACUAUCCAUAGCCCUUCUUCGGUUCUUUCGCUUCAAAUUAGCUGAUGACAAGAAAAAUAACUUACAGGACAAUGCUCACACUUCACAUUGAAGGAAGUCUGCAUCUUCGUGCAAUUGGAAGGACCAAGUCAUGAAGAUAAAAUAAGUCAAGCAAAUAAUUAUGGCCUGGUGAAUCUUGUUUGUACUGUAUACAUUGAUACACAUAUCAAUUACAAACAACUGUGAUUUCUACCGGUAUGUUAGCUGCAGCUGUCGCACGACUGUGUCACCUUGGAGAUAAAAUUUGCAAGGAAAAUUUUCAUUUGUCCUAUUUUUCCUUUUCUAAACUAUGUGCCACCAGCAACAAGCAGCUUGAAUUUAUCUAAUCAUCGUUAUCAAGCUUUAAUUU